rnacentral:lncRNA from 1 species
GGACAAAGCCACUUGGAUGUGUUUUCCUCAAUAGCUAGGAGGUACUAGGGCUGCCGAGAUUGGAGGCAGAAAGGGAAAGAAUGAGGAGCGGCUUCUUUUUCNUUUUUAAUGGUAAAAACCAGGGAGAUUGAGCAAGGAAAGAAGGAAAGAAGCGAGCGUGCGAGUCGCGCCUGGGCUGGGCAAGGCGGACGGCUGUGUUUUCCCCCACGACUCGCAGCCGGAGCUUUCGAGGCGCUCAAGAUCAGCUCCUGUGGGAUCUUCCUUGCUGAGUACUUGCUGUCAAUGAAUGGUCUCAUGAAUCAACUAUUCUUGAUGAACCCUUCUCCUUCCUCCCAUGAUUCUAUCCUUUCCAAUGGAUGGUUGCCAUCUACCCCAACAUUCAAGCUAGGAGAAACAUCCCUCAUUGCAAAGAAAAAUUAGAGAAGAGGAGGAGGAAGAAGAAAGAGAAGGAGGGGAGGCAUCAUUUGCAACCAUGGACAUUUUUGUGACUUUUGUGUCUGUUGCACUGGAUUAUGAAAUUCCUGAUUGUAAAUGUAUGUGCUUACAGGUUAGUUUGCAAAUACUGUGGGCCUCUUUGGGCUUACCCGCUAGUGAGUGAGCAGAUGCUCACCAGAUAAGUAUGUUCACACUCCCCUGCUGCCACAGUGACUGGGAGUGCCUACAGUCACUCCCAAAUGCUACUAGUUGUGGACAACAAAAUUGUUGUCCACAGCUUGACUGGGAGUGGCUAGGUUGCUCCCAGUCAGAAUGUUCGCACCUUCUUUUGGUGUGACUGCUGCGAGUCGGUGGCAUGGUAUGACUGUAGUUGUGCAGUCAUGCCCCAUGUCCCCAAUUACCAUGGCAAUGGUUGGCCAUUGUCACGGCUGCUGUCAUGGUGGCUGGACCAGCCAUCUGCACUGUGAAUACUGGAGACCUGAUACAGGGCUGUUCCAGCCCUUGCAGUGCAGAUGACCGCCACGCUGCAGGAUCUUUUACAGCUUAGAAUGGUAUAAUUCUAGGUUGUCAAGUGUGAACAGGGCCUGUGUUGCUAUCAUUAUUGGCGGUUGUGACAACCGUAGGGGUAGUGAAGCAGAGGAGGAGGUGGGGCUCCGACUGGNGGUUGGUUCUGUUGUAUGAAUUGUCUGUGAUUGUUGAGAAUUCUACUUAAUUCAGGCUUUUUAAAAAAAAAAGUUUUCCUGAAACUAUUUACUAGCAUGAUGCUCUGUUGAAGGUGUAAUCCACCUGCCAUGGAUUAAUGGUGUUUAAUGAUGUUUUAAAUAGGUUAAUAUUUUGUUUAAAAUUGGUUUAUAUUUUAAUGCUAUUCAAUGCAACCUCUUGCCUUUUUUGUUUUCUUAAGUAAGGUCAUUUAUAAAUAAAUAAGCAUAAACAUACA